GAACACAGUACUCCAGUUGCAUUCUCACAAGAGCAGAGUAGAAAAGAAUCACCUCCCUCAACCUGCUGGCUACAGCAUAUGAUUUGUUCUCUGGGCUGUGAGCACACACUGCUGGCUCAUACACAGUUUUUAAUCCAUUAAUACCUCCAAGUCCUUCUUCUCAGGAUUUCUGUCAGUUCACUCAUCACUCAUCUUGUAUCCAUGUUUGUGACUCUCUAUUCCAGUCCAGAUGGAACACCUCAUACCAGUGGGAUGAAAUUGAACAUGGAGUCUCUUUGCGGAAAUCUUUUCUGCUUGGAGUUGUGUUAGUGCAUGCCAACUUUUCGAGACUAAGAUAUGAGUCCUCCAUGCUAGAUGUACUACACAGCCCUAUAAAUGAGGACAAUCAAGAACACUCAGAGAUGCCAGAGGAAGAUAUUCCAGCAGGGACCCAGAAAAAGGAGAUCCUGUGAAACUGAAGGGAACCUGUGACUGUGCAGCAGGAUUUGGGACCACAACCAUGACUCCAACACCUCAGACCCUGUGGCCCAGUUCAAGAAAUGCACAUCACAUAGCUGGGACUGCUGUGCUACAUGAACAUGGAGUAAUUCAUAAAGUUACGUAUAUCUAUGAUUAAAGUAUUU